UCGUUACAAUCCAUUAAAGUAUCUUCGACACUUUACCCAAUUUUGACCUACAACCCUGAUUUAAAAAUGUCAACAAACACCGCUAGCUCACUUAGCGAGUUACCUCAGCUCACAGAGGAUUCCUUCCAUUUUACCUCCUUACCCUAUCGGCACGCAGCCACUUCUCUCGCGGGAGAGGCCCAUGGGCGUCGGAUGAACACACUUGUGCUUUUGCGAGGAAGUGUUAUCACCCAAUCAACGUCGCGCACGUCCAAUAAAGUUGCUGACGUGUUUCCGUGCGACGGUCGGAUGAAUGGUGUAUUUAGAAUUUGUUCAUUUUAUCGACCUAGCAAGUGCAAGCUCUUUCCGUUGGUGAACGCCGUAGAGCUAAGAAGUGCGCGCCGUGUCUUAGUUUAAAAAGUAAAAGUUGAUUUAAAAGUGGUGUAAAGAAUACUAAAUAUAUUUAACUAAAAUUACAGGAUAAAAGCUAUACAAAAAACGAGACGUUCACAAAUAAAAAGUUAUCACAGAAGAAAACGGAAAACUAAAAUACACAAAAGUUGUUAACAAAAAUAGUACGUAUGAAAGUAACAUGCGGUACUUUGACAUAAACUCAACUAAAUUAUGUUUUUGCGUUAAACAGCUAAAACCUUCGUUAAAAUGUGUUAAAACAACAAAUUAAAAAGACAUUGAAUCGUUGUGUGUAUUUAAAGGUAAAAAUCAAAAGUUAUGCUUUUAAAAGAAAAGUUAAAAACCAUGUGGUGAUAUGUUUUUUUAAGUAAUGUUUAUUGUAAUUGAACAGCUUAAAAUCGUGAAACGUCACAACGAAGAUACAACGAAACAUACUAAAACCAGAUACUAAAGAAAAAGGUAAAAAAAUUGUAAAAUGUAAAUAUGUAGAAAUUGUGAAAAUAAUUGUAAGAAAAACAUGUGGUCACAAAUAUGACGUCACAGGUGUAGUAAUUGCUCUGUCAGGUCCAGAGGACCUUUUUCUUUUUAUAUUUCCGGUCAAGCUCCAGAUCGACCUCGUUGGGCAGCCGUCGAGACCAAAAACCAAAAAGGUCUUCGCCAGGACAAGAAGCUACAAGUCCUAAAGUGAACCUAACCUUACUUCGGUUCAACUUUCAUCGAAACUGAACACCGUUGACAUCAGCUGAAAAACAACACCGUUUCGGGACGCCGAAACUGGUGUGUAAUCGCCAAGGUAGCUGCCCGUUCGAAGAAGAAAAUUUCCGACCCGUAGGUCAGAGCUUGGAAACUACAUCAAACAGCAAGUAUAUAACGACAGUGACGUCUCAGGUUUAGGGCCCAUGCCAUUAAUAAAUAAGCGCUUUGUAAUGUCCAAAAUUAGCCCUCCUGUCUAGUUAUUUUUAGUUGGAUUUACAGCCACAUUUAGUUUGCUAUCGAAAUAACGUUUUAUCCCAUGCCUCCCUCUGAGGUGUUCCAACAAAUUGUUUGCACUUUGGUCUUUCGGGUUUAUCUCGUCCGACAACGGUUGGUAACAUGCGAGGUACCACUCGCAUGUGUAGCACAGGUUUGCCAUCCCGCCUCUUGGACAUCUCUAUCUGAGUUUCUCAAGGGAGAAAGUAGCCCUGCAAGUGACAUCCGUAGAAAAUCCGACCCUGAGUCCCACUCAUUUCACCGAAUUCCACCCACCAGAAAAAACCACCCACCCGCUGAGCAACCGCGAGUUACAAUUUGGCGCCCGAUCAAAAAAAAAAACUAUCGUCGUCGCACGGUUACAUUUUCUUAAAACCCCGAGGAGAGGCGAGCAAACAGAAUCCUGUUUGAUUUUCUAAUCGUUCUCCAAACGACAAACUAAUAUAUCGGAUACUAAUCUUUUGAUUUCUAUUUUAGAGAAACUCUAGAGCCACGGAGCGGAUAUCGCAACGUAGUAUUUCAGAAAACCAGGAAAAUUCAAGCCCAGUCAGGCUAGUGCUACUAGACUUCAAAAAUGAAAACUCCCGAGAAGAGUUUAGCUCACUAUUUGCGCAGAUGUUCAAGACCUCUGGCAAUAGCAGAAUCAAAUGAUUUGAGCAACGUAGUCCCGGUAAAGUUCAGCAUUAGAGAUCAGGUCAUUUCCGUUUCUUGGUUUUUGGUUGCUCUAAAGCAAGCAAAUUCUCUGCUAAGCGAAAAAACCGACAAGCAUUCUAGAGAAAUACAUUCGUCCCGAAGCUCGAAUGUAAAAUAUUCUCCUAACAGCGACAAGAACAAUCAAAAACAGCCCGGAAGUAACAACGAACCACCCAGAUUUGCCGGGAAGAAAUGCGGUGACCACAUGUUUAGGAAUUUUGAAGCUACAUCGUGUUUUUUAGAACCCGUCGCGAAAUCCACGCAGAAUCGAUCGCGUACCGUAUCAGAUUCGAAAGUCCAUGAGAAAGUUUUGAUCCUACUCGAAUGUCCCGAUAAUUACGUUUCGGAAUUAGAAUCGCACUCUGGCUUAAGACGAUCUCAAUUCCCACACCGCGGUAGUAAAAAUAACGGUUUUCGUAGCUCGCACUAUGGUCGACUAAUUCCGAAAAAGAACUUAUUUCACGACAUUCAAAACAACGACACGGUCAGGUUUUUCGUUCGCGAUAGCACUUCCGGUAAUUCGACACAUCGCGGUCUGCCCCGGUGGGCAAAUAAUUGUUUUCUAAGUUCGGCUAAAGCUUGGUUUAGACUCGGCUUAGGAAACGAUGAAUUUGCCUUCCGGGAACGACUAACCUUCGGAAUGAAAACGAAACAUCCGUGUCCCAAGUUUGAUAACGACAAUGCAACGCUCGCGAUAGUUCGAAAUCUCAAAUCGAAGGAAAACCUAGGAGGUUUGAUUGAUGCUUAUAAUAUUCUCAACAACGUAAUAGUACGCCGUUACCUGAAACGUAAAGUAAAGAAAAAAUUUCGUGAUAUUUUUGUAAUUACCGAAACAACGCGAUUAUCACCCAGAUCGAGAAACUGGCUGAUUCUACAAUCGUCGUUCGACAACGUGUCGACCCCAGACCUAAAUAGAAGUCUGCAAAUCCGUGUCCGCGCGCUUCGACGAAUGAAAUUCAUACGCGAGAGGAACUUAGAAACUUCAUCGAAAAUUUCAAUACGCGAGAAUGAAUUUGAACCACCAAACCGAAAACGUUCAUAGCAGGCCAAAGAACCUAUCAGAGAUUCGCAUGUAUUCGCCCCGAUUAAUGAUCGAAUCCUAAACCGAAAUUUUGAUUCUUACUUAUACUCAAUGAUUUUCACUAAGCGUGAAUGAUUAAAAGUCACUCUUGACUAAGCUGUUAGAAUGCUGGCUAAACAUUUCUUUUAGUACAUUUAAUAUUUCAAAUCAAAAUACUACCGAAUAUGUCCAUAAAAACUAAAAACUUAUUAUCUUUGACCUAACUUCAAAACAACCUUUUGCUUGUGGUCGCAAUCUUUGUUGAACUUCAUCAGUACCUUGAACAAUCGCGAGAUCUGGUUGAAAUAUAGUUCACAGGAUUGAAAUACCAAUUAGGAUUUGUUCCUAUCAAUAUUCGCAUCACUGAUUUUAAAUUGUUCUGAUCAUCUACAGGGAAAACAUCAAAUCCUACGUUUGCUCCUUCCCCAUUCAGGUGAAUAUCGCGAUUGAGGGAAUUUCGGAAUUCAUUUAGAGAAACGCACUUGCAUAUGGUUAACCAGUUUAUUCUUAGAAUCUAAAACGAGAAAAAAUCAAUUAGAAAGAGAAAUCGGAACCUAUCGAGUAUAUUUUAGUAGAAGGAAUUUCCUAGGAUUUGUGAAAUGGAUUCCGGGCCCUAAUCCACCCGGGUGUCACAGUAGAUUUUCAUCGAUAUCUCGACUGCAAACCUGCAAAGAGAAGGAAAACGAACAAGAACAUUUAUCAGUACCUGCCCAAGAGGCUUAACGAUACAUAAAACUUACCUUUCGGAACAUCUGCUGUUGAUUUCCUUCCGUCUCGACCAUUUGAAUCGUCAAUGAGAUGCGAAGACUAGAAAGAGAUACAGAGAAAAACGAACGAAAGUAAGAAUUUUGUAGCUGGAUAUCAGCUUAUUCUUCAUAGGUGUUGUAGCAAAAUAGCUAGCACCAAAACAAUACAACUUACCUGAUGAUUUUUGGGAACCAGUUUCGGCCUUUCCGAAUUGUUCCUCUUCGCAGUUUUAGCUGAAAAAGAUAAGGGAUAGAUAAACGAAAUAGUGUUACUAAGCUGCAAAUAAUAGAGCUCUCGAGGAUCUUAUUUGAGAAAAUAAGCCAGAAACUUACCCAAGAAUGCAUCAACUUAUUGCACCGGUGCUAACAUAGAGAAAAAAAAACAAACUACGAAUCGAUUCGACAAAUAAUUACAUUGUUUACAUUCUAUUUUGGCGUUUCCGUGAGUGGUCGCCAACAAUAAUAAAACAACUUCAGUGAGAUCUGGUGAGAUACACUGAGUUACGCGAUGCUGUUCCGAUCACAUGAUGAUCGCGAAAUAGGCAGUGUGGCGCGUAUUAAGAACCAAAAAUAAAAUUUAUGUUUUGAUUAAAUUCAAAAUGAAAAUUGUUUCAAGGGACCGAGUUGCAUUCAUCUCCCUGAUAACAAAAUGAAUGAAGAAUCAUUCAUUUUGAGGAGGGACGAUGGGGUAAUGUAACCGUUCGUUACAAUCCAUUAAAGUAUCUUCGACACUUUACCCAAUUUUGACCUACAACCCUGAUUUAAAAAUGUCAACAAACACCGCUAGCUCACUUAGCGAGUUACCUCAGCUCACAGAGGAUUCCUUCCAUUUUACCUCCUUACCCUAUCGGCACGCAGCCACUUCUCUCGCGGGAGAGGCCCAUGGGCGUCGGAUGAACACACUUGUGCUUUUGCGAGGAAGUGUUAUCACCCAAUCAACGUCGCGCACGUCCAAUAAAGUUGCUGACGUGUUUCCGUGCGACGGUCGGAUGAAUGGUGUAUUUAGAAUUUGUUCAUUUUAUCGACCUAGCAAGUGCAAGCUCUUUCCGUUGGUGAACGCCGUAGAGCUAAGAAGUGCGCGCCGUGUCUUAGUUUAAAAAGAUAAAAGCUAUACAAAAAACGAGACGUUCACAAAUAAAAAGUUAUCACAGAAGAAAACGGAAAACUAAAAUACACAAAAGUUGUUAACAAAAAUAGUACGUAUGAAAGUAACAUGCGGUACUUUGACAUAAACUCAACUAAAUUAUGUUUUUGCGUUAAACAGCUAAAACCUUCGUUAAAAUGUGUUAAAACAACAAAUUAAAAAGACAUUGAAUCGUUGUGUGUAUUUAAAGGUAAAAAUCAAAAGUUAUGCUUUUAAAAGAAAAGUUAAAAACCAUGUGGUGAUAUGUUUUUUUAAGUAAUGUUUAUUGUAAUUGAACAGCUUAAAAUCGUGAAACGUCACAACGAAGAUACAACGAAACAUACUAAAACCAGAUACUAAAGAAAAAGGUAAAAAAAUUGUAAAAUGUAAAUAUGUAGAAAUUGUGAAAAUAAUUGUAAGAAAAACAUGUGGUCACAAAUAUGACGUCACAGGUGUAGUAAUUGCUCUGUCAGGUCCAGAGGACCUUUUUCUUUUUAUAUUUCCGGUCAAGCUCCAGAUCGACCUCGUUGGGCAGCCGUCGAGACCAAAAACCAAAAAGGUCUUCGCCAGGACAAGAAGCUACAAGUCCUAAAGUGAACCUAACCUUACUUCGGUUCAACUUUCAUCGAAACUGAACACCGUUGACAUCAGCUGAAAAACAACACCGUUUCGGGACGCCGAAACUGGUGUGUAAUCGCCAAGGUAGCUGCCCGUUCGAAGAAGAAAAUUUCCGACCCGUAGGUCAGAGCUUGGAAACUACAUCAAACAGCAAGUAUAUAACGACAGUGACGUCUCAGGUUUAGGGCCCAUGCCAUUAAUAAAUAAGCGCUUUGUAAUGUCCAAAAUUAGCCCUCCUGUCUAGUUAUUUUUAGUUGGAUUUACAGCCACAUUUAGUUUGCUAUCGAAAUAACGUUUUAUCCCAUGCCUCCCUCUGAGGUGUUCCAACAAAUUGUUUGCACUUUGGUCUUUCGGGUUUAUCUCGUCCGACAACGGUUGGUAACAUGCGAGGUACCACUCGCAUGUGUAGCACAGGUUUGCCAUCCCGCCUCUUGGACAUCUCUAUCUGAGUUUCUCAAGGGAGAAAGUAGCCCUGCAAGUGACAUCCGUAGAAAAUCCGACCCUGAGUCCCACUCAUUUCACCGAAUUCCACCCACCAGAAAAAACCACCCACCC